rnacentral:rRNA from 1 species
AUUGAACGCUGGCGGCAGGCCUAACACAUGCAAGUCGAACGAGUGGCGGACGGGUGAGUAAUGUCUGGGAAACUGCCUGAUGGAGGGGGAUAACUACUGGAAACGGUAGCUAAUACCGCAUACCAUCGGAUGUGCCCAGAUGGGAUUAGCUAGUAGGUGAGGUAAAGGCUCACCUAGGCGAAGAUCCCUAGCUGGUCUGUGAGGAUGACCAUGCACAAGGGAACGGAGAAACGGUCGAGACUCCUAAGGGAGGCAGCAGGUGGGAAUAUUGCACAAUGGGCGCAAGCCUGAUGCAGCCAUUCCGCGUGUAUGAAGAAGGCCUUCGUGUUGUAAAGUACUUUCAUCGGGGAGGCGUUACCCGCAGAAGAAGCACCGGCUAACUCCGUGCCAGCAGCCGCGGUAAUAC